rnacentral:rRNA from 1 species
GUAGGGUGCAAGCGUUGUCCGGAAUUAUUGGGCGUAAAGGGCUCGUAGGCGGUCCAUCGCGUCGGGAGUGAAAAGCUGGGGCUUAACCCCAGUCCUGCUUCCGAUACGGGUGGACUAGAGGUAGGUAGGGGAGAUCGGAAUUCCUGGUGUAGCGGUGAAAUGCGCAGAUAUCAGGAGGAACACCGGUGGCGAAGGCGGAUCUCUGGGCCUUACCUGACGCUGAGGAGCGAAAGCAUGGGGAGCAAAAAGGAUUAGAUACCCUGGUAGUCCAUGCCGUAAACGUUGGGCGCUAGGUGUGAGGGACAUUCCACGUCCUUUGUGCCGCAGCUAACGCAUUAAGCGCCCCGCCUGGGGAGUACGGCCGCAAGGCUA